rnacentral:lncRNA from 1 species
GGCUUUCUCUUUAUCACUUUCACAUUCUCUUUGUGCAUCACGGAUGGCAUCACCAAAAGCAUCAUCGCCCCGAUCAUCUUCUGCCGCCACCUCUUCUUCAUUAUCUCCCUCCAUUGCAACAUCAUUGAAGCCACCGUACUGAGCAAUAAUAUUGGCAUGGUCCAAUUCUUCUUCUUCAUCAUCUUCUUCAUCUUCAUCCAUUAUAAUCCCGCUUUCUCCAUGUUUGGUCCAACAAAUAUAGUUUGGUACGAAACCAGACUUUAAUAAGUGUGAAUGAAGAGUUCUUGAGUUAGAAUAUUCCGUCAAAUUUUUGCACACGGCACAUGGACAGCACAUGAAACCGUCCCUCUUAUUUGACUCGGCC